rnacentral:rRNA from 1 species
AACGCUGGCGGCGUGCCUAAUACAUGCAAGUAGAACGCACAGGAUACACCGUAGUUUACUACACCGUAUUCUGUGAGUUGCGAACGGGUGAGUAACGCGUAGGUAACCUGCCUGGUAGCGGGGGAUAACUAUUGGAAACGAUAGCUAAUACCGCAUAAGAACAUUUACUGCAUGGUAGAUGUUUAAAAGGUGCAAAUGCAUCACUAUCAGAUGGACCUGCGUUGUAUUAGCUAGUAGGUGAGGUAACGGCUCACCUAGGCGACGAUACAUAGCCGACCUGAGAGGGUGAUCGGCCACACUGGGACUGAGACACGGCCCAGACUCCUACGGGAGGCAGCAGUAGGGAAUCUUCGGCAAUGGGGGGAACCCUGACCGAGCAACGCCGCGUGAGUGAAGAAGGUUUUCGGAUCGUAAAGCUCUGUUGUUAAGGAAGAACGAGUGUGAGAAUGGAAAGUUCAUACUGUGACGGUACUUAACCAGAAAGGGACGGCUAACUACGUGCCA